UACAGAGGUCUCAAGCGUUUGUUCGGAUUCAUUGGGCGUAAAGGGUGCGUAGGUGGCGCCGUAAGUCGGGUGUGAAAUUUCGGAGCUUAACUCCGAAACUGCAUUCGAUACUGCGGUGCUUGAGGACUGGGAGAGGAGACUGGAAUUCAUGGUGUAGCAGUGAAAUGCGUAGAGAUCAUGAGGAAGACCAGUGGCGAAGGCGGGUCUCUGGACAGUUCCUGACACUGAGGCACGAAGGCCCAGGGGAGCAAACGGG
rnacentral:rRNA from 1 species